rnacentral:tRNA from 1 species
UUAAAUAAGAAACAAAAAUUUGUUAUUAGUUUCGACCUAAUCCUUGAUGAAUAUUCAUCCUUAUUUAU